rnacentral:tRNA from 1 species
AAGGAGUAGGCAAAUGGUAAAGCUAAAUAUAAAAAAUUUAUUUAUAUUAAUUUAAAAGGUUCGAAUCCUUUACUCUUUA